rnacentral:rRNA from 1 species
UGGGGAAUAUUGGACAAUGGGGGCAACCCUGAUCCAGCAAUGCCGCGUGUGUGAAGAAGGUCUUCGGAUUGUAAAGCUCUGUCUUUUGGGACGAUAAUGACGGUACCAAAGGAGGAAGCCACGGCUAACUACGUGCCAGCAGCCGCGGUAAUACGUAGGUGGCGAGCGUUGUCCGGAUUUACUGGGCGUAAAGGGUGCGUAGGCGGAUGUUUAAGUGAGAUGUGAAAUACCCGGGCUUAACUUGGGUGCUGCAUUUCAAACUGGAUAUCUAGAGUGCAGGAGAGGAGAAUGGAAUUCCUAGUGUAGCGGUGAAAUGCGUAGAGAUUAGGAAGAACACCAGUGGCGAAGGCGAUUCUCUGGACUGUAACUGACGCUGAGGCACGAAAGCGUGGNNNUCAAGCAAGCAGAUUAGAUA